GUGCUUGCUUUGGAAGGACACAUACUAACUUGGAAUGAUACAGAAAUUAGCUUGGUCCCUGUGCGAGGAUGACAGGCAAAUUUGUGAAAUGUUCCAUAUACAU